rnacentral:rRNA from 1 species
CGGCACGGGUGAGUAACACGUAUCCAACCUGCCGUCUACUCUUGGCCAGCCUUCUGAAGGAAGAUUAAUCCAGGAUGGCAUCAUGAGUUCACAUGUCCGCAUGAUUAAAGGUAUUUUCCGGUAGACGAUGGGGAUGCGUUCCAUUAGAUAGUAGGCGGGGUAACGGCCCGCCUAGUCAACGAUGGAUAGGGGUUCUGAGAGGAAGGUCCCCCACAUUGGAACUGAGACACGGUCCAA